rnacentral:rRNA from 1 species
GACGAACGCUGGCGGCGUGCUUAACACAUGCAAGUCGAACGGAAAGGCCCUGCUUUUGUGGGGUGCUCGAGUGGCGAACGGGUGAGUAACACGUGAGUAACCUGCCCUUGACUUUGGGAUAACUUCAGGAAACUGGGGCUAAUACCGGAUAGGAGCUCCUGCUGCAUGGUGGGGGUUGGAAAGUUUCGGCGGUUGGGGAUGGACUGGCGGCUUAUCAGCUUGUUUGUGGGGUAGUGGCUUACCAAGGCUUUGACGGGUAGCCGGCCUGAGAGGGUGACCGGCCACAUUGGGACUGAGGUACGGACCAGACUCGUACGGGAGGCAGCAGUGGGGAAUAUUGCAGAAUGGGCGGAAGCCUGAUGCAGAAACGCCGCGUGCGGAAUGACGGCUUUCGGGUUGUAAACCGCUUUCGAAUGUGACGAAGCGUGAGUGACGGUAAUGGGUCAAGAAGCACCGGCUAACUACGUG